ensembl:lncRNA
AUGUCUUUUAUGAUACAUUUCAUCAGUUUCUGUUCUUCUUUGUAUUAUUUCAAACAUCACUUUAUGCUGUUAGUUUUAAUAUUCUUUUCUAUUUUCCUUAUCUGCUUAUAUGCCAUCUCUUCUUUUUUUUAUUUUAUUUUUCCCCUUAGGAGCAAUCGCAAAGAUAAAAAUCUGCCCUUUGUUAGAUCUGCUACCCAGGGAAAUAGUGUUUAUAUAUCUUUUUCUUCCAUAUUGCAUUUGAAAAAUCAUGAAAGUAGCCAGAUAAGCUGUAUUUCUUCAAGCAAUAUUUUCAGUGUUUCUUUUCCAUAUUUUCAAUGAAUAUGAAAUGAUAGCUAAGUGAUUAGAAGCAGAAGCUUUUAGUGAAACAAGUAUGUAAAUUUGGGACAAAACAUUCACUGACUUUCAAACUCUAGGGGUUUUACAUAUUUGCAGUUAAACAUUCUCUCUUUUGAUCCACCUAUGUCAAUGCAAUAUUAUGAAGAAUUCUGAAACACUUCAAGAGCAAUUUAAACAAAAGUGUUAUGUCAAUGAACCGUUUAGAUAUUGCUUCUGUCUUGUUUAUUAUAAUUACAUAUUUGGGGACAACAGAAUUAAAGACAAUUUUUUUUUUCUAAAAAGGAAGACAUGAAUAGCCUAAAGAUCUGAAGACCUUGCCUUGUUUCAAAGUUUAUCAGAAUUGAUUACACUAUAGAACAGUCUUUCUUUUUCUAGUAUUAUCUUAGAUAAAAAGUACAUGGAUCCCUUUGUCCUCCAGUGCUGUUCAUUAAGGUAUCAUGGUUUCCUUCUGAUUAUAACCACAGCAUUACCUACAGGGGAAAAAGAUGGGGCAACAUCCAGAACAUGAGUUUAUAGUAAAAUUAUCAGUCAGAAUAUAAACCCACACUAGAUCCUAAAGAAUAAUAAAAACAGCAAAUACAUUGUACUGAUUAUGCUCUGUGCACUAUUUCAAGCACUUUAUGUAUAUAACCAACUUUUAUAUACUUUCCUUCUCUGCAGAACAAUUUUUGGCCUGUGCAGGAGGCCUGUGUGUCUGGUACACAAUCUACAAAGCAAGUAUCCUGGAGUCCUCAUAUCACAGAAAUGAAAACUCACAGAAUUGAGUUGACCCAUUGAAUUCAUCUAGUUCCUUAAUAUUAAACACCUCUUUGAAAUGAAGACCCGUGUUAUUAAAAAGGGGCAGAUUUAUUUUCCACAACAGAAACAAUACAUUCCAAUGCUCAAGUCAUUCACUGAGCAUUUACUAUGGAAACUGGUGUUGUGUAAAACUCUGAAGGCAAGAUAAUCAAUGUGGUUUCUACCUCUCAGAGGUUGAGCUGAGGGUAAACUGGUUGCUCUCAUCCUGGUUGCUGUCACACAGAAUCACCCUGGCAUUUGAACUCAUGGCCACCUUUCAAGACAGAAUUUUCUUAAAUGCUGAAGAUACAUUUCCGGACANCUUUCAAGACAGAAUUUUCUUAAAUGCUGAAGAUACAUUUCUGGACAUCCGAGAACCUUUGGCUUCUAUUUCUACUUACUGGACAGCUCAGAGAACCAUGUUUGGAACCCUGAGCAACAGAACUGAAUGUGGGUUGGGUUCAACUUUCCCAGGAAUCGAUCUAAAAUAUGGGAGAGUGAUUCCUAAGAGUUUUUAUACCAAGGGUUGCUGAGACUGUCUUAAAACCUGAGUAACUCAGUCCAAAGAGGACCUGAUCUCCUUGGCAAUCAAGUGGAAUUUCUGACCCACAAAAUGACGGUUUUGUUUGUGAUUCUCAACUGCUUGUUUUAUCAUAAGUAGAAAGAUGGCUUUUGACCAAAGUCAAAUGCAAGNNNNNNNNNNNNNNNNNNNNNNNNNNNNNNNNNNNNNNNNNNNNNNNNNNNNNNNNNNNNNGUUCUCUAAUGCCUGAGGCCUGGGGUGGCUCCCACCAUGGGCACUUCCGUUGCAGCUAUGUGGCUCAAAUCACUGCCCACAUAUGAUAUGAGGACAUAUGUGGACAUGUAAGGACAUAACCACAAAAUAAGAAUUCUUAUACCUACCCCACCUACCCACGUGAAGGAUCCAACCCAAAGUGAUAAGGGGGUUGCAGGAUCUAUUACAAAGGCUUUCUGGAAUUGGUGACACCUCAACUUAGCCUUGAAAGAUAAUUAAAGAUCAGCCAAAGUAAAAGGGAAAGAGUUUCAAGAGGAGAAGAGGGGAUCUUAAAGGGCAGGGAUGCCCAAGAAGGGGUGGAAAGUCUGGGGAAAGUUAACAUUUCUAGGAACAAGAGAUCAAGCCGUAUCUUCCUUGAUAAAAUAACAUUUACCAGGGGACCAUCUAGAAA